UACGUAGGUGGCAAGCGUUGUCCGGAUUUACUGGGCGAAAGAGCGCGCAGGCGGUCGAUCAAGUCGCGUGUGAAAGCCCCCGGCUCAACUGGGGAGGGUCACGCGAUACUGAUCGACUCGAAGGCAGGAGAGGGUAGUGGAAUUCCCGGUGUAGUGGUGAAAUGCGUAGAUAUCAGGAGGAACACCGAUGGCGAAGGCAGCUGCGUGGGACGUUACUGACGCUGAGAACGCGGAAAGCGUGGGGAGCAAACAACGG
rnacentral:rRNA from 1 species